AUUUAUAUAGUAUAAUAAAAAUUACAUUUAAUUUCCAAUUAAAAAAUUUAAUUUAUUUUAAUAUAAAUA
rnacentral:tRNA from 1 species